GGGCCGCGCCGGGGCCGGCCGGACGCGGGAGCCUCGCGCUGAUCUCAGAUUUUGCUUUAGUCUGUCCAGUGAUCAUGAGAGAGUAUGAGGCCAGGAUCACUCCACCUACUUUGAGAGAACUAUGUGGUAUUUUUGGACUUAGUGGACCCCUGUUCCUUUCUGCCUCUGCUGAAUGUCUGGUGAUUUCAGCAGCAUGCUCGGGUUCCCAGUGACCUGAAUUGUUCAACUCUGAACUCGAUGAUCAAGACAGCACAUUGUGAUACCAGAUUUCCUGACUACACAGGGUUACCUGUCACAUAAAUCUGACUCUCUGGGAGAGUCACCUAUCACCUACAUGACUGCUUCAUGGUUUGGUGCUACUGUGCCUUUGCUGCACCCGGGUGUUGCCCGUGUAAACUCAAGUGACAACGUGAAAGUGGCUGCUUCUCAGUUGCAGGGCAGGCCUUCUUGAGCAAGUCAUGGAACUGCAAUACUCGCUACUGAGAUACAUCCUCUGUGUUCUGAUUAGGGAAGGAGUUGAAAAAAGCAGAGUCUGCUGCAGUGAUCAGGAAAUGCAGACUUGGAGAAAGCCAACCCUGAAUGCCAGCCUACAGAGAUUCUCUGAGACCAUGGUGUCAAGAUGGCCUUUGGCUGGACACAUAUGCCAGCACAAGUGACAUCUUUGCUUUCACCUUGGAAGAGGAAUUCUCAAAUUGGACUGACAAGGCUGGAGGCUGUCAGGGAGGCCUUGCCACUCUCAGAGGACCCUUCAUGAGUAGCCCUUAGGGAGGGAGCAGACAAUUGCUCUGCAUGCAGGGAUAAUCUGGCCAAGCUACUCUCCUGCCAGCAGAGCACAUUUCACUGCACAAACAUCCGGGGUGACAGAGGGUAGCCACCCCUCUUGCCUAACUCAACAGGAGAGACCAUAUUUUCAGAGACCCCAAGGAGGCAGCACAUUCCUAGACUGUGUGUGCCAUUUGCAAUAACUUAUUCAUUCAAGGAUGGGGCUGGCUUUAAUAGAAACUGAAGAGCCAGUGAUUUGCCUUAUACCACCCAGCCCAAACUGAGGGGUGCACAAGCCUUCUUCUUCUCCUCGUGUCCAAAGAGGAUAGGCUGUAGCUACUCCUAGAAGAGCCAGACCACAUCCAGGGGCACCCAGAGCCAGGGAGAAGGAAGCUGGGCUGUUAGACAUGUGGAAGUGGUCAUGUGGGCCCCAGCCUAGAGGUGCCCUUUCACCACCUUUCCAGCACAGCCUGCAGCUAGCUGGUGAAAGGCCACAGCAGGUAACACACAGUGACACAGAAGGGGACCAGACCCAGACAGAUCAGCUGGGAGAGUCCAGAGGGAGUGACCCUGCUGCUGUCUACUAGGAUGGGUGUGACCACAGCCAGUCCUGACUAGCAUCAGGAAAAGGACAGGUCUGGCCUAAAUUGUAUUCCUGCCCUGAUGCACCCUAAGCCUCAGGCAGACUGCAGUCGUCUGAAGUCUGUAUAGCAGUUUAUAUAUACAGUGUAUAAAGCCCGGACAAAAUUAGAGGCUAAGGAACCCCUUUGAGGUCACAGGGAAGCAAGUGUAAAAUGCAACACAAGGACAGCACCAGCAGUCAACUUAAAUGCUUUUAUUGACAAUGUCUCUGAACAAUAAUAAGCAAACAAUGCUUAAGUUUCAUCCAAAUUCACUUUCCACAUGUCAAAAAAGACCUCAAGGUAGAAAAAAAUAAAAUAAAAAUAUAAAUAUCUGAGAAUCCGUCUUAAUAAAUAAAUUAAAAACACAAUAAAAACGUUUUCAUGGAAAACUUAUGUCAAACAUUCAGACCACCUCAACAAUGCAUGAUCAGUAAAGUUACAAUGAACAUCAAUGUAGAACUACAGUACAUGGAUAUAGCUAUUUAUCUACCUACUAGAAAAUAAAAUAGAGUCUCUUUCCCCCCACAUAAGAUGGGUCAUUGCUAAGUCAUCAGAACACGAUAUUGCCAGGAACACAGUAGUUAUUGUUAAUCAGCUGCACUAGAUACGAGUUGGAGAUACCCAGCACCAGGUUAAAUUCCAAUCAUUUAAAACCAAGAGAUUAAUUAGAUAAUGCUAGUGAUACUAAGGAGGGGAGGGAGUCACCUACCCAGCCAUGUGGGACAUGCUACAGACUACCAGCUCUCAUGGAUGGGCCACUGGGGACAAGACAAACUCCAUGCGAUUUGCUACAUCUCUGGAAGAGGCAAGAGACCUCGGUGCAUGACGCUCUGCCAGGCCCCGGGACACCAGGCCAGACAGGGGGUGGCGGUGGCAGGGCCCUCCCCAGGCCUGGGGAGCCCCAUGGGGCACAGCUGCAAGUCCGUGGGGGUGCGUGGGCAGGGGAGGGGGCCCAGCAGGUCAGUCAGUGCUGGAGCCCUUCACAAGGCCAGGAGGGUGGGGGAGCUGAGGGAGUCGGACGAGGGCUCGUUGCUG